rnacentral:rRNA from 1 species
ACACCACGAGAGUUUGUAACACCCGAAGUCGGUAGGGUAACCUUUAUGGAGCCAGCCGCCGAAGGUGGGACAGAUAAUUGGGGUGAAGUCGUAACAAGGUAGCCGUAUCGGAAGGUGCGGCUGGAUCACCUCCUUUCUAAGGAA